rnacentral:misc_RNA from 1 species
AAGUCGUAACAAGGUUUCCGUAGGUGAACCUGCGGAAGGAUCAUUAACACGUUUUUUUAAACCAAAACGUACUAAAACUCUGUGAACGAGAUUUCCGAAUAUUAAUCUCAACUAAUAAUAUUAUUUUAAUAUUAAUAUUUCGGUAUUAAUAUUAUUAAUAAUAUUAUUAGGAUUAUAUUUGGGUAACAUAAAUCUCACUAUUUUUAUUUCAAUAUCACCAACCCCUAAAACUACUUAAUACUAUAUGGUGAAAUACCCAUAUAUGUAUUCUGUAUGUUUGUAACUAAAUUUUUUCUUCAUUUCAUGCCUAAAAAACAUGAAAGCAAAAGGAUAGUAUUAUCUUCGGAUAUACUUUAUCUUUUUAUGAACCAAAACUGUUGUACAACUCUUAGCAACGGAUAUCUUGGUUCCC